rnacentral:misc_RNA from 1 species
AUGGUGCGGCCGCUGAGCGAGGCGGUGUGGGUCUGGAAGUCGCGCUCCUCGCGAAACAGGCGGAAGCGGUUGCGGACUUCCCAGGAAAUCUGCAUCGCCGUCGUGAGUUGCGGGGCAGCCGGCUGUACGAGUGGCGUCGGUGCGACGGGCGGCACGAGCGGCGUCUGCGCCACAGCAGCGCUCACCAUCGCGCCGCCGAGCGCCGCGAUCAGGAGCGAUAAGCGGAUGACGCGCGACUGGAUCAUGUUGGGUUUUGAAGCCGACUGAUAAGGCCA